rnacentral:lncRNA from 1 species
AUGGGGUUUCUCCAUGUUGGCUGGGCUGAUCUCGAACCCAUGACCUCAGGUGGUCCACCUGCCUCAGCCUCCCAAAAUGCUGGGACUACAGCAUUAUUUAUCAUUAACACAAUUACACAGCAGUUGUCAUUGAAUUUUUCCCACAACGUUGAGAGUUCUAAAAAAGGCUCCAAAAAUGAAAAUAUGAGUACCACAUGCCAACUUUUUCAAAGAAAAAGGAGGAGGGCUGCACCCAUCUUCAUCUCUGAAGGAUUUGCUCAGAGACAGCCUAACUGA